CGCGGAAGGAGCGGGGCUGAUCCCCGCCGCUCUUCCCGUAAGGGCCCUGCCUGCCGCUUCCCACCUGUGGAGGGAGAUAAUGCGAACAAGUUCUCUACCGCUGUUCACUUAGCAGUCUGUCCUGGACCUUUGGCUGUAAUGGGACCCAGAGCUCUCCAUCUCUUUCCACAGAUGGCCACCAUGCUUCCCUUUCCACAUGGGGAAUCCUAACUACAAAGGAAACAGAUAAGGAAGCAGGAUCACUCACAUAUUUGCUAACUCUUCAGAGGGAGCACAAGGUCCAAGUGUGCAAGCCUAGACCCUGCCCCUAGAAGACCUAGCGAUGCUUGGCUGCUCUAAAGUGGACACGUGGGAAGCGACCCAUAGAUCUGCACUCUCCCAUGUCCUGCAGAGAAAGGGGCCACUGGAAACAGGAUUCAGUCAAUGGCAGGAGCAAGUGCCCCCAAAAUCUUGUGGGUUGAUUUUAUCCUUUUAUUUAUAACGCUGCUAAUAUGCUACAUGCGCCUUGACUGUGCAUCAAAUACUCAGUAUUUUGAUUCUGACAGAUGAAAAGAGUAAGUAGCAGGUAAGCCACUCCCACACCUACCCGGAAAGCAAACCGGAGAUUUUAAAGUUUAUUCUGGAUGCUGAAAACUCUUCUCAUGGAAGACAUAUUCUUUAGAUGAGCCCCAACCUUCUUUAAACUUUUUAUAUCUGGAAACAUAACCUCUAAAGAGAAAAUCAUAACAAAACGUGACAAAAGAGCAAUGUAAAGCUCCCUGGAUGAUCACAGAGUGAAGAGUCCUGAACCACCACACAAGUCCAAAAAACAGAACGUCCACCAACUCUCCCCGUCCGCUCACACCUGCUCCCAGUCACUAACCCUCCGUCUUCCCUAAAUGUACCCACUAUCCUGAUUUCUGACACAGUCAUCCAGUCUGGCUGUUUUUGAAUCUCAUAUAAAAUGGAAAUCAAAAAAACGGUAGUCUUUUGUGCCUGGUAUCUUUUACUCAGAAAAUUAGGUUUGACAGAUUCAUCUGUGUCACUAUAUAGAACUGUGACUCAUUUUUAUUGUAUAAUCUUCCAUUUUAUGAAUAUACCACAAUUUAGGGAUCUAUUCCACUGCGGACAGACAUUUGUUUCUCUUCUUCAGGGAUUACAAACAACGCCAGGAACAUUCCCGCACGUGUGUUUCGGCACCUACGUGGACACACGUGUGUUGUUUGUAACCCAGAACCAGAAAUCACUGGGUCAAACCCUAAACUUUUUCAGAGUUCUUGUACCAGUCUACCUGCUCUGGAAUCAAAAAAUGAAAAUUAAAGCCACAGUUAUAAACAUCUGGAUGAACCUCACAAACCUAGUAUCGAGUAAAAUUUAGAUGAAAAUCCCUGUUUCACACCCUUCUAGUUUUGUUUAUUUUUUUCAUUAAAAAUGUUAGUCUUCUUAAAUGUUAUCCAUCGUGGCAGAUGUGUGGUACCUCCCUGUGGUUUUCUUUUGCAUCUCUUGCCCAUUUUUCUACUGCACCGUGUGCUCCUCUGCUUGGUCUGCCCCCCAACAAAACACCACGGCCUGGGUGCCUUACACAGACACGUAUUUUCCCAUAGUUCUGGAGCUCCACGACUGAUGUUCACAGGGCUGACCUGCCGUCCUCAGCCCCCCUGGAGGAAAAGCAGAUCCUAUGUGGCCCAAAGCUCCCGUUAGGAGUUAUACUGUUGACUGUCCAGUGGCCAAGGCCACCAGGUAAACAAAGACACUCUUAUUGGGCAGGACACUCCAAGGGCCUAGAGACCACCUCCUAGCAGCCACGGGCAAAGGCCAGACCUCUCUUUGGGUAAGGUUAAUUUAAUACUA